AAUGAACGCUAGCGGCGUGCUUAACACAUGCAAGUCGUACGAGAACUCUUUAGCUUGCUAAAGAUAGUAAAGUGGCGCACGGGUGAGUAACGCGUGGGUAACCUACCUCUGAAUUUGGGAUAACUUCGCGAAAGCGGGGCUAAUACCGGAUAAUAUUUCAGGAUCUUCGGGUUUUGAAAUCAAAAGUGGCCUCUACAUGUAAGUUACUGUUUGGAGAUGAGCCCGCGUACCAUUAGCUUGUUGGUAGGGUAAUGGCCUACCAAGGCUACGAUGGUUAGCUGGUCUGAGAGGAUGAUCAGCCACACUGGAACUGACACACGGUCCAGACUCCUACGGGAGGCAGCAGUGGGGAAUUUUGCGCAAUGGGGGAAACCCUGACGCAGCAACGCCGCGUGAGUGAUGAAGGCUUUCGAGUCGUAAAGCUCUGUCAAGUGGGAAGAACAUAAAAAAUGUUAAUAUCAUUUUUUACUGACGGUACCACUAAAGGAAGCACCGGCUAACUCCGUGCCAGCAGCCGCGGUAAUACGGGGGGUGCAAGCGUUGUUCGGAAUUACUGGGCGUAAAGAGCGUGUAGGCGGCUUGGUAGGUCAGAUGUGAAAGCCCUGGGCUCAACCCAGGAAGUGCAUUUGAAACUGCCUUUCUUGAGUAUGGGAGGGGGAGAGUGGAAUUCCCAGUGUAGAGGUGAAAUUCGUAGAUAUUGGGAGGAACACCCGGUCACCCCAAUUAUCGGCCAUACCUUAGGUACCUACCUCCGGGCACUCAACUAUACUGACGCUGAGACGCGAAAGCGUGGGGAGCAAACAGGAUUAGAUACCUGGUAGUCACGCCGUAAACGAUGAGAACUAGGUGUAGCGGGUAUUGACCCCUGCUGUGCCGAAGUUAACGCAUUAAGUUCUCCGCCUGGGGAGUACGGCCGCAAGGCUAAAACUCAAAGGAAUUGACGGGGGCCCGCACAAGCGGUGGAGCAUGUGGUUUAAUUCGACGCAACGCGAAGAACCUUACCUGGGUUUGACAUCCUCUGACAGUCCCGGAAACGGGAUUUUUUCGACUUGUCGAAACAGAGUGACAGGUGCUGCAUGGCUGUCGUCAGCUCGUGUCGUGAGAUGUUGGGUUAAGUCCCGCAACGAGCGCAACCCUUGUCUUUAGUUGCCAGUAUUAAGUUAGGAACUCUAAAGAGACUGCCUCGGUUAACGGGGAGGAAGGUGGGGAUGACGUCAAGUCCUCAUGGCCUUUAUACCCAGGGCUACACACGUGCUACAAUGGGCUGUACAAAGGGUUGCUAAUCCGUGAGGAUACGCUAAUCCCAAAAAGCAGUUCUCAGUUCGGAUUGAAGUCUGCAACUCGACUUCAUGAAGUUGGAAUCGCUAGUAAUCGUGGAUCAGCAUGCCACGGUGAAUACGUUCCCGGGCCUUGUACACACCGCCCGUCACACCACGAAAGUCGACUGUACCAGAAGUUGCUGGACUAACC
rnacentral:rRNA from 1 species